UAUGCCUUUUGAUGCCCUAUGCACGGGCUUAUAGAUUACACAGUUCCAUGAGCUCACUCGCAUGUGUAGUCCCUCCCUCAGUUUUCGCAUGUAUGUCUCUUGUCUCUAGUCCUUUGCUAACCAAAUUUAUCCAUAAAGGCCAAAGCGUGUGCGUUCAAAGAGGCGAUGACGGAUCCGGAUGCACCGAGUCCCAGGGAGCCAAGCAUGCGAGAGUGGAUUUGCUGGUGUUUCGACUCGCUCCCAUUGAAAAGACACCCACAUGCAACAAGAAUUUCGAGAGUGCUUGCAGUGAAGUAUUUUUCAUUUCAUAGUUCGAACAAGUGUGUCGGAGGACCAAACCCCACAAAGCAAAGUCACAAGUGCUGAUUACGUUGUCAUCGGUCCUUGCCUUCUUCGUUCUUACUUGCCAUUCGACUGACUUCUUUUUUACUUCUAAUGUAAUGGGUCGUUGUAUAUAAAAAUGAUGAGAAACUUAGCAUUA